UGAUAUGGCUCAGCAGGUAGAGCACAUCCUUGGUAAGGAUGAGGUCACCGGUUCGAAUCCGGUUAUCA
rnacentral:tRNA from 2 species